CCGCCCCCUGCAGUUUGGUCCUGGUACUUCCGUACAGUGAAGAUCCAGGCUGAUCUCAGCGAUGUCAUGCUGCAAUUUACAGUUCCUUCUGCCAAACUUGUUUGAGUCAGCUGGUCACAUGUUUCUAGCUCUCAGAAUACUGCAAGCAUCUGCUGAUGGCUGAGAAUAACACACACUUCCUGGCAGACUUCCUGUCUCUGAUAGUGGAGCUCUCACCUGAAUCUGAUCACUUUUGGAUGAAUGCAGUAUUACAAACAGUGUCUCAUCCUGACUUCAGCUCUGAAAUCAAACCCAUCACACCUGAGAGAACUGGACCUGAGUGGAAAUAAAAUAGAAAACACAGGAGUGAAGCAUGUCUCUGAAACACUGAAGGAUGUACGCUGUAAACUGGAGAGAUUGAGG